rnacentral:lncRNA from 1 species
CCCAGGUGUGGUUUCCCAGCCCUCCACUCCGCACGCCACUCACCUCCUCACUGCACGCGUCUCCUCACUGCACGCAUCUCCUCACUCCACGCAUCUCCUCACUCCACGCAUCUCCUCACUCCACGCAUCUCCUCACUCCACGCAUGUCCUCACUGCACGCAUGUCCUCACUGCACGCAUGUCCUCACUGCACGCAUGUCCUCACUCCACGCAUCUCCUCACUCCACGCAUCUCCUCACUCCACGCAUCUCCUCACUCCACGCAUCUCCUCACUCCACGCAUCUCCUCACUCCACGCAUCUCCUCACUCCACGCAUCUCCUCACUCCACGCAUGUCCUCACUGCACGCAUCUCCUCACUCCACGCAUCACCUCACUCCACGCAUCACCUCACUCCACAGAAAUCCUCACUCUACGCAUCUCCUUAUCCCAUGCCUCCCCUCGUCCCACGUCCCGUGGUCACACGCGUGUCCUCACUGCACACCUCCUGCUGCCUCCUGCAAGGUUCGACUGCUGACUUUGCUUCCCACAGCAUUUCCACUGCUUGACACAGGUGAAUGGCUCCGACCCCAUUUC